rnacentral:rRNA from 1 species
AGAGUUUGAUCAUGGCUCAGGAUGAACGCUGGCGGCGUGCUUAACACAUGCAAGUCGAACGAACCUUCGGGUUAGUGGCGGACGGGUGAGUAACGCGUGAGAAUCUGCCCUCAGGAGGGGGAUAACGGCUGGAAACGGCCGCUAAUACCCCAUAUGCCGAGAGGUGAAAUGAAUUUCGCCUGAGGAUGAGCUCGCGUCUGAUUAGCUAGUUGGUGGGGUAAGAGCCUACCAAGGCAUCGAUCAGUAGCUGGUCUGAGAGGAUGAUCAGCCACACUGGGACUGAGACACGGCCCAGACUCCUACGGGAGGCAGCAGUGGGGAAUUUUCCGCAAUGGGCGAAAGCCUGACGGAGCAACGCCGCGUGAGGGAUGAAGGCCUCUGGGCUGUAAACCUCUUUUAUCAAGGAAGAAGAUCUGACGGUACUUGAUGAAUAAGCCACGGCUAAUUCCGUGCCAGCAGCCGCGGUAAUACGGGAGUGGCAAGCGUUAUCCGGAAUUAUUGGGCGUAAAGCGUCCGCAGGCGGCCUGAUAAGUCUGUUGUCAAAGCGUGGAGCUUAACUCCAUUUCGGCAAUGGAAACUGUGAGGCUUGAGUGUGGUAGGGGCAGAGGGAAUUCCCGGUGUAGCGGUGAAAUGCGUAGAUAUCGGGAAGAACACCGGUGGCGAAGGCGCUCUGCUGGGCCAUAACUGACGCUCAUGGACGAAAGCCAGGGGAGCGAAAGGGAUUAGAUACCCCUGUAGUCCUGGCCGUAAACGAUGAACACUAGGUGUCGGGGGAAUCGACCCCCUCGGUGUCGUAGCCAACGCGUUAAGUGUUCCGCCUGGGGAGUACGCACGCAAGUGUGAAACUCAAAGGAAUUGACGGGGGCCCGCACAAGCGGUGGAGUAUGUGGUUUAAUUCGAUGCAACGCGAAGAACCUUACCAGGGUUUGACAUCCUGCGAAUCCCUUGGAAACUUGGGAGUGCCUUCGGGAGCGCAGAGACAGGUGGUGCAUGGCUGUCGUCAGCUCGUGUCGUGAGAUGUUGGGUUAAGUCCCGCAACGAGCGCAACCCACGUCUUUAGUUGCCAGCAUUGAGUUGGGCACUCUAGAGAGACCGCCGGUGAUAAACCGGAGGAAGGUGUGGAUGACGUCAAGUCAUCAUGCCCCUUACAUCCUGGGCUACACACGUACUACAAUGCUACGGACAAAGGGCAGCAAACUCGCGAGAGCUAGCAAAUCCCAUAAACCGUGGCUCAGUUCAGAUCGUAGGCUGCAACUCGCCUACGUGAAGGAGGAAUCGCUAGUAAUCGCAGGUCAGCAUACUGCGGUGAAUACGUUCCCGGGCCUUGUACACACCGCCCGUCACACCAUGGAAGUUGGCCACGCCCGAAGCCGUUACUCCAACCCUUGUGGAGGAGGACGUCGAAGGUGGGGCUGAUGACUGGGGUGAAGUCGUAACAAGGUAACC